UACGUAGGGAGCAAGCGUUGUCCGGAAUCAUUGGGCGUAAAGCGCGCGUAGGUGGCCUAAUAAGUCCGCUGUGAAAGUCCAAGGCUCAACCUUGGAAAGCCGGUGGAUACUGUGAGGCUAGAGUACGGAAGAGGCGAGUGGAAUUCCUGGUGUAGCGGUGGAAUGCGCAGAUAUCAGGAGGAACACCAAUAGCGAAAGCAGCUCGCUGGGACGUUACUGACACUGAGGCGCGAAAGCGUGGGGAGCGAACAGG
rnacentral:rRNA from 1 species